UGAACUGUGCCUUUGUCACAGUUUACAUAGGAAGGUUAGGGCAUUAACUACAUAUAGAAAAUUGAUAUGAAGGAGAGGGAUAAAGAUCCUUUUUAACUGAUUUCUGUGUUUUAUACUGAUUCACAAUAUGAUGUGGACCUCAAAUAAUUCCUAACCUCUUCCUAUAAAAUCAGAAGACCGUUAAACUCAUAAGUUUCCACAGCUAUGUCAAGACUAAGUAUUAUGAUUAAAAGAUUAAAAGCCCUUUGACUUUUCAGGAAAACCAACUGAAGCAGGACUGAACCAACAGGGGAAGCAUUCAGCCCCAUUCCAAAUGCCCACUGGGAAUUGACAGAGCUUCAUCAAAAGGGACAGAGAAGGGAAGACUCUUUUUGAAGAGAUAACAUGGACUCAGUACAGUUGGCCUGUUCAAAAGAGGCUGCCGUCAAGGCCCUUCUCCUUUCUUGUUUACAUGUGUGUAAGCAGUACGUCAGGAAUGGCCAGAGCACGUCCACCCAUAGGCCCUCUGAAGAACAAGCUGCUUUUCCAAAAUCCCUGCAGGAAGUUGACUCAGGGCUUGACUCUGUCCUCAGAUGCACACAGAAAUAGCAGAAAUCUUCAAGCAGGUACUCCAAGCAUUGCUGAGCUCUGAGGACUGAACUGCUGCUGACGAAAAGAAGGACUGGGGAUUUUUUCUUGCACAAAGGGUCC